rnacentral:lncRNA from 1 species
ACACUAUUUACUAGCUUAUUUCUAACAGUUAUAGUAACAAACUAAAAGAAUAUUUACAAAAGAAUGAUUCUAUUUACUAUGUAAAAUAUCUCUUUCUAUCUUUUGGGUUUGUCUUAGAAUGGGCCAAUGGAAUAAAUGAAUUUUUUAAGGCCCAUUUGAUGUAGAACUAAGUCCAAAACAAAAGAGGCCCGUUUAGAGUUGAGUCUGAGUCCAAAAAGGUCCGACCCAUUCUUUUCUUAAGAUAUACACCCUUCUUAGACAUAAAUCAAAACAUAAUUAACCUAGCCGAUUUUGUCUCCAUUGUCUUUCUUCAUACUUUCAACGGAGAAUUCGAGAGCAGCUUUAUUUUCAUUUCUAACACCAACAAACGCCCCCCCCCCCCCAAGUUGGACGGG